rnacentral:rRNA from 1 species
AGAGUUUGAUCCUGGCUCAGAUUGAACGCAGGCGGCAGGCCUAACACAUGCAAGUCGAGCGGCAGCAGCUCCUUCGGGAGGCUGGCGAGCGGCGGACGGGUGAGUAACGCAUGGGAACUUACCCAGUAGUGGGGGAUAGCCCGGGGAAACCCGGAUUAAUACCGCAUACGCCCUGAGGGGGAAAGCGGGCUCCGGCUCGCGCUAUUGGAUGGGCCCAUGUCGGAUUAGUUAGUUGGUGGGGUAACGGCCUACCAAGGCGACGAUCCGUAGCUGGUCUGAGAGGAUGAUCAGCCACACCGGGACUGAGACACGGCCCGGACUCCUACGGGAGGCAGCAGUGGGGAAUAUUGGACAAUGGGGGCAACCCUGAUCCAGCCAUGCCGCGUGUGUGAAGAAGGCCCUAGGGUUGUAAAGCACUUUCAGCAGGGAGGAAAAGCUGUCGGUUAAUACCCGCCAGUGUUGACGUUACCUGCAGAAGAAGCACCGGCUAACUCCGUGCCAGCAGCCGCGGUAAUACGGAGGGUGCAAGCGUUAAUCGGAAUUACUGGGCGUAAAGGGCGCGUAGGCGGUUUGGUAAGCGAGUUGUGAAAGCCCCGGGCUCAACCUGGGAAUGGAAUUCGAACUGCCAAGCUAGAGCGCAGCAGAGGCAGUGGAAUUCCCGGUGUAGCGGUGAAAUGCGUAGAUAUCGGAGAACACAGUGGCGAAGCGACUGCUGGGUGAACUGACCUGAGUGGAAGGGGGUAGCAAAGAUAAUACCUGACCCU